rnacentral:lncRNA from 1 species
CAGGGGCGGAUCCAGGAUUUUUGAAAGAGGGGGCGUAGUUUUUAUUUUUUGCCGAGCGGAGCGAGGCGAAAAUUUUUGUGGGCCCUUUUUAGAUUAAAAACAUAAAAUAAGUGAAAUUUACACUUUUAAACGGGUCCUGACGUGGGACAUGCAUAUUUUGUAGUUGCUGUUAAGGUGUAAGGGUUGGACAUUUUCGAUACUGUAUUCUCCCUAUUAAGUGUCGAUCAUGAAAUGAUAUCAUGGAUCCAAAGCUAUGUACUGAUACAUUUAAUGUUGGAUCGAUUUUUCAGUAAAACAUAGACAUGGAAAAUUCUCGCACGACUGUAUGUUGUAAGUUAAGUUAGAAUAACCUCACAGAUUUCUUGUUGUGAACACGAUAUACGCUGGCGUUUGGGGUUAAACAUGUUUCCGUAGUUAGAUAAUAUUGCUGUGGAACGUUUUUUUCAUGAGAGUGUAAUAGUCUAGAGCAUUACUUUCUGUUUGGUGGAAUAGUGAAAUAGAAGUCAGUACGUUCUUGUUAAAUCCUGUGUCGCUUCGAAGGUGUCAUGAUUGUCAUCCUCAGCCUACGCAAUGUGUUACUGUAACUUUGUUUGAAUUUCAAAAUGACUGAGAGACGUUUUCUUCGACGCACUGCAGGUCAAAUCCACCAUAGCGAAUCACAUGACUUUGAUAAUCAGUAAAUUCCAGCGAAAAAUAUCUUUAUAAGUCAAGAAUUGUCGCAUAAAUAUUAAAUCGUAGUACACGGGAAAUAGCAAAGUUCACGAAAUCUAGUCUGAUUAAUCAUUUUACAAAAAAAAAAAAAAAAAAAGUCCGAUCAAAGGGGGGGCGUACGCCAUCUACGCCCCCCUCUGGAUCCGCCACUGAAGAUAUUGAUUUGAUAUUUAGUAUAUAAUAUAACCAUGACAAGUUACAGAUAAAGUUCUAAUUUUGUUCCGGUUUGAGGAUUUUUUGCAGAGUUAUGGCC